rnacentral:misc_RNA from 1 species
AAGUCGUAACAAGGUUUCCGUAGGUGAACCUGCGGAAGGAUCAUUAUUACGUAUCCACGUAUCAAACCAAAUCGUGAACUUGUGUCCCAUCUGGUGAGGGCUUCUGCGAGUGUUUCUCAAUUCUCGGCACGGUAGAGGGUAAAACAAGGGUUCGCCUUUGUUCUACCUUUAGAGAACCUCGGUCCUGAGCAACUGGUUUUCGAACUAGAGGCUCGGCUCACUGGAUGUGGUUAUUUUAAUCUGCUGUGUCAAACAAUUAUUAACCCCUUGUAACAAAAAUUGAACUGACAUACACUUGAGGAGAAGCCUCACGGCUUUUCUCAGUGGAUAAACCGAAACUUAAGAACAACUCUCAACAACGGAUAUCUUGGUUCUC